UACGGGGGGAGCAAGCGUUGUUCGGAUUUACUGGGCGUAAAGGGCGCGUAGGCGGCCACUGCAAGUCGGUUGUGAAAUCUCCGGGCUUAACCCGGAAAGGUCAAUCGAUACUGCAGGGCUAGAGUGCGGAAGGGGCAACUGGAAUUCUCGGUGUAGCGGUGAAAUGCGUAGAUAUCAAGAGGAACACCUGAGGUGAAGACGGGUUGCUGGGCUGACACUGACGCUGAGGCGCGAAAGCCAGGGGAGCAAACGGG
rnacentral:rRNA from 1 species